AAACCCAAAUCUUGAAAACUUCGACCUUUGCUAGUCGCUCCUCCUCCUGACUCUACUUUCCCAUCUGAUCGACAUAGCAUCUCGAACAAGUGAAGUGGCUAUUGAAAUUAUUGUUUUCUCCCACAUUUUCUAUCUCUGUUUAUCGGUCUUGAUGCCAUGGUCUUUCUGUUGAAUCUUGAAUUUUUUAGCGGGAGACAAUGUGUUAAAUCUUUGAUUUAUUUUGGUUUGUCUACUACAUGGCAAGUCAGGAAUGGGCAAUGGAACAACAAAGGGGAAAAUAUGAAUCUUUCUACAUGACAAUACUUUAUGUGGGCUUUUGUAAAAAUUUCAAGUUCACACAAGUCCCUUGAUGAUGUAGAUUUAGAGGCUGCUAGUUUUAACCACAGUGUCAAUGAUUUGUUAUAUUAUCUCUUCCAAUUGCUAGACUCUUUUGAAGACAAAUUUACUUGGAUUGUUGUUAUUAGAUUUUGUAGGAAACACAUAAAUGCAUUUGUUAGUUCCACCUAAACCACAGUGUGUUAUG
rnacentral:lncRNA from 1 species